UUUUGCCUUCAAUCGGGCCUUGGAGCGGGAACUAAAUCGCCCUUUUGCACAAUGCCGACCACCAUGCAUGGUGGCGCUACGGCGGCGCUGAGAGGGCUCAAAGUUUGGACGUUUGAGAGGGGGAGGAGAAGGGUUUUCUUUUUUUUGUUUUGUUUUUUUUAAAAAAAAGGGUUGUUGAAAUUUUUUUUGAAAGAAUUUGGGUUUAAAUAACCCCCUAAAACGGUGCCGUUUGGGCUUAGGGUUUAGAGACCGAAAACGGCGUCGUUUUGGUCUCUAACUCGCGCGGUGACCCAAUCCAGGGGGAGCAUCCGCGUGUUUUCUUUAAAUGGGAUAAUUGCGCGCGCAGUCCCUCGACUCUGCAGCGCACUUCAAUUCGGCCCCUUUUCGCUAUUUUCUUUUAUUUUUAAUUUAGCCCUGUAAUUUUAUCUUUGUUACAAUACGAUCCGUUUCAACGCUGCGUUUUGGCGCUUUGGGAUAUUUACCGUUCUGGUCCCCCCUCUUUCAGCGCACGACACAAUUUAGUCCCUCUCGUUUUUUUAUUUCGAUUCCAC
rnacentral:lncRNA from 1 species